GGAGUUAGCCGGUGCUUCUUCUGUGAGUGAUGUCCUUCCUGCCGGUUAUUGACCCGCAGGCCUUCUUCCUCACUGAAAGUGCUUUACAACCCGAAGGCCUUCUUCACACACGCGGCAUGGCUGGAUCAGGGUUGCCCCCAUUGUCCAAUAUUCCCCACUGCUGCCUCCCGUAGGAGUCUGGGCCGUGUCUCAGUCCCAGUGUGGCUGAUCAUCCUCUCAGACCAGCUACGGAUCGUCGCCUUGGUGAGCCGUUACCUCACCAACCAGCUAAUCCGACAUAGGCUCAUCCGAUAGCGCGAGGCCCGAAGGUCCCCCGCUUUCCCCCGUAGGGCGUAUGCGGUAUUAGCCUGGGUUUCCCCAGGUUAUCCCCCACUACCGGGCAGAUUCCUAUGCAUUACUCACCCGUCCGCCGCUCGCCACCAGGGAGCAAGCUCCCCGUGCUGCCGCUCGACUUGCAUGUGUAGCUCGCCGCCACGCGUCAUCUGAGCCGACGAACCAACUACUCGA
rnacentral:rRNA from 1 species